AAGACUCUACUUUCAGGGGUCAUUUCUAUACUUCGUUACUAGAGAAAUUUCUCUGAAUGUGUAGAGCACCUGAAACUACAAGGGCGAGGCGCAGUGUUCUCUCCUGAGCAUGAAGCAGGCUUCCAGUGUUGCUUUGGCAACUGCUAAUAGCCAUUGAUGAUCCUUCUGCUCUUCCUUUGGAAGAGUAAGAAGGAGAGAACGCAGUCUGAGUG